rnacentral:tRNA from 1 species
GUCAGGAUAGCUCAGCUGGUAGAGCAGAGGACU